UGAAGUUUGAGGAUUAGUGAGUAUUUCUAAGAUCUUCAGUAAUUUGUUGAUUAGAUUGAAGUAAUUUUUUAUAUAUAUAUAUACAUACUAGAUUUGAUUUCUAAUAUUUUAGAUGAAAUUUGAAAGCAAUUCAAUGGUUCAAGAAGGAGAUAUUGGUACUAAAAGUUGAGCAUUUUGAUUGGAGUAGGAAGCCACUUAAUACUUGAUUGGAUUUUCUUAUA
rnacentral:lncRNA from 1 species